UACGGGGGGGGGCAAGCGUUGUUCGGAAUUACUGGGCGUAAAGGGCUCGUAGGCGGCCAACUAAGUCGGAUGUGAAAUCCCCAGGCUCAACUUGGGAACUGCAUCCGAUACUGGAUGGCUUGAAUUCGGGAGAGGGAUGCAGAAUUCCAGGUGUAGCGGUGAAAUGCGUAGAUAUCUGGAGGAACACCGGUGGCGAAGGCGGCAUCCUGGACCAAUUCUGACGCUGAGGAGCGAAAGCCAGGGGAGCAAACGGG
rnacentral:rRNA from 1 species